CCCUAAUUUUUCCCCUUUCCCCAGCCCUGAAGCACGCAGCCCCCACCCCCUUCCUUCCUAAACACAAUACACACACAAAACAGAGAAAGAAACGUAGAGAUAGAGAGGAAGAAGAGAGAGCUCAAAAUCGGAGAGGAAGGGACGGCGCUACGGCUAGGGCUCGCCGCCGCCGCAGUCGCCGUCGCGCCUUGCUACCGUCGCAGUCACCGUCGCGUCUGGCUGCUGUCAGGUUCGGCGUCAUCGUUCUGCCGGCAUCAAGCCUGUUCUGCCGCCUGAGAAGAAUUGCGAGGAGGAGAGAGCACACGUGAAGGGCAACGCCGUCACGAAACCAUCGCCGCCGUCGUCAUGCUCCGCUGCUGCCGCGUCUCACCAAGCAGUCACCGUCGUGCUUCCUGGUCGCCGUCGAAGAAGCUGUCGUUCGGAAGGAGGCAUGGCUGUCGCUGAAUAGAACACGAUGGUAGUGAGAGGAUGCCACCGCUGUUGACGCCGGAGCUCGACAGGGACUGCAGCGCCGUGGCCGAGCUAUUGGGUUGCCGCAGCUGCUGUCGGGAAGGUCAUUGGGGUUUGUCGAGGAUACUGUUCUGGUUCUGAAGCAAUUCAUUCAUGUCACUGCUCAUCUUUGUCCUCUGUGUCCUCUGUUCCGCCUCUGCUUCUAGUUUCUAGAAUCUGAGAAGACGCUACUGCCACUGCUGGAACUGUUGGUUUUGCUUCUCUGGCCUUGUUCUGGCUCCACUGUAAACCGUUACCGCCACUGGAGCUGCCCGAAAACCCUGUUGUUGCUACUCCGUUAUUUUAUUGUAAGCUAUUUGUAGUUCAAAUUCUAUUGAACUCAUUUCCAUUUCCGACUUUAUUGAAUUUGAACUCUAUUUUGUUGCCACCGUGGUUACUACUGCGAGAGUGAAGAGUGAUCAGAAAUAAUGCUGCUGCUGUUGACCGGAGGUGCUAAACUGUUGCCGCUACUACUUUGGGAUGAUAUGGCUGCUAUUAAAGUUGUUGUUGAUGAGUGCAGCAUUCCCAAUUUCUAUGGAUUUCGACUGACUGAGUGGCAGAGGGGUUAUUUCCUGUAUACAGAAGGUGUGUCGGCAUACAACCCUGUAAUGGCAGAUGUGUUAUUUCGUGCGUGCAGUGGACCCUGUGGUGGCAGAGGGGUUAUUUCUUGUACACAGGGGUAUAGCCAAUAGGAAAGCCUUAUCCAGACAGAGGUUGCUGGAUAACGUCGGGAGCAGUGGCACAGGUUCGAAGAUUCCGUUUGAAGCUGCAGGCGAUUAUAGAUCUUAUUUAUGAGUUAAGUUUAUGACUUGAGUUAUCUUCAUAGAAUUUCCCUCGCCCUUGUUACUUUGGUUUUUAUUUUAUGCAGAGGGAUAGGAUUUGUAUGUGAGUUUUAUUUGAAAUCUUUUGUAUGACAG